ACAGAUGAAAAACUGACAUGGAGAAAAGUUAGACAAUUCCUCCAAAUCACAAAGAUAAUUUGUUCAACUGAGAGAGUGCUUAACUCAGGAGAUCAAUAAAGGUUCAUAGAGGAAGAAGUAUUUGAAAUUGUCCUGGAAGAACAAUAUUUUUCAACAGGCAGAGAUGGAGAAAGGACAAUCUACAUGAACAGAACAGCAUGAGCAAAAAGAACUGGUAGAAAUAUAUUGAGCUUAUUCUUGAAAAUAGCUAGCAGUUUACUCCUCCUUUCUUUUGUAUACUAACAGCAGCACACUGAACAAACUGUUCUGUCAUCUUGUUUUUAUCACUUACCAUAUCUUUGAAAUAUUUCCAUAACCAUCAUAAGGAGUAUCCCUAUUGCUUUUUGAGCAAUGCAUAGAAUUCCAUUUUGUGUGAAUAUCAUAAUUUAUCACUCUUCUAUUUUUAUCACUCCUCUGUUGAUGAUGACUUCCAGUCUUUUGAUAAUAUAAACAGUGCUGUAGUAAAUAAAGUUCUGUAUAUGUCUUUUCCCACAGGUUAGAGACUAUCCAUAGGAUAAAUUUCUAGCAAAUUGCUGAGUCCAGGAUAUGCAUGUUUGCAAUUUUGGAAGAUCUUAAAAACUUGCCUCCUAUAGGUGUUGUACCAGUAUAUACUUCUGCCAGUAAUAGAUGGGUGGGCUGCUGAUGCCUCAAAAUGUAAGUAUUUUCAAACUUUUAAAUUUUAGCCCAUUUAACAUAAUUUAAAAAUUAUGUCUCUGUGUGAUUUUAGUUCCAUUUCCCUUAUUAUAUAUAAGACUGAACAUCUUGGCAUAUGUUUAAGGGCCAUCUGCAUUUCCUUUUCUGUGCACUGUCAGCUUAUAUGCUUUGCCCAUUUUUUCUAGUAGAUGGUUAGUGUUUUUCUUAUUGAUUUGUAUAUAUUCUGUAUUACUCCUUUAUCACAUUGCCACAAAGAAAUGCCUGAGAUGGUGUCAUUUAUAGAGAAAAGAGGUUUAAUUGGCUCACAGUUCCACAGGCUAUACAGGAAGCAUGGCUGAGGAGGCCUCAGGAAACUUAACAAUCAUGGCAGAAGGUGAAGGGGAAGCAGGCACAUCUACACAUGGCCAGAGCAGGAGGAAGAGAGAGAAGGAAGAGGUGCUACACCCUUUUAAGCAACCAGAUCUUGUGAGAUCUCACUAUCGUGAGAAUAGCAAGGAGGAAAUCUGCCCCCAUGAUUCAGUCACCUCCUGCCAGACCCCUCCUCCAACAUUAGGGAUUACAAUUCGACACGAGAUUGCCGGUGGGACACAAAUCCAAACCAUAUCAUAUUCUUUAUACAUUUGGGAAAUUAACUUUUUUCUGUAAUAUGAUUUACAAAUAUUUUUCUCAGAUUGGCAUUUGUUUUUUGACUUUUCAUAUUGUGCAUUUUGCCAUGGGAAGUUUUUUUUGUCAUUAAAUUUACCUAUUCUUUCAUUCAUAUGGCUUCUGGGUCCUAUAUUAUACUUAGACCUUUACCAUUCUGAAAUUAUGUAAGAAAAAUUCUCUCAGGGUUUUUUCCUAGUAAUUUUAAGACUUUACUUUUAAUAUUUUGGAUUUAUCCAGAUGUAGACUAUAAGAUAAGGAUCCACAUUUUUUCCCCAGCUCUACAUUUUGCUGCUAGAAGAUUUUACAAAAUUUUGCAAUUACUUAGUAACUUACAUUUCUUCCCAAUUGAUUUUGAAAUCUGUAAGAGCAGAAACUUUGAUUUCAUAUUUUUAUUCUCUCACAUGCCUGCCCUUUAAUGCACUUCAACCCCAGCCCCAAGUUUUGCCUAGUACUUGGCAGUUAGGUAGUUGUUACUUCUGCAUCUCUUGACUGCUGGGGAGGAAAGAUUCCACCUGAGUUAAGGCAAGUCCUACCCAGGAUGUGGCUGCAAAUGAGACUGCAAAGUUCUCGACCGAUGUCUUUUCAUUAAACUCUGGCUUUUACCAAGUACAAGUACCAAGUGAGUCAUACCGACACAUGUAGAGGAUGGCAUCCUGAGGGGAAAAGAAUUAUAGUGGAAAUAACCAAGGCUGCUUGGAGAAAAGCUUCUCAGCUGGCACUGCAGAACAGCAGCCACUGCCACAGCAAACAGCAAAACAAUAACAAGCUUACUUGCAGAAGGUGGGAAGCUGCAGACGUAAAUGCAGGCUCCCUUCCCAGGCUACCAGCAGUCCCUGGGGAUGAAGUAGUCUAAAUGGGCAGCAGUUGUGGAGUCCUCCCCGCUCACAGGAAUGGAAGAUGUCACUCACUAGCAGAAGUGCUCUGGGGUGGCAAUGAGGAGUACUGUCUUUGGACUCUGACAGGAACAUCUGGAUGGCACCAGGCUCAGGGAGACGGGUCUUGUGUGUCCUGCUAAGCACUAACAGCAAUAAUUGAGCAGCAGCAAUCUGCCUCACAUCAUUCUAGGCCCUAGGAGGGCACAAAGUUGGUUCUUGGCUCAGGUUAUCAGGAAAGUAACGUAUGUGCGUACAAAUAAAGUGUCCAACAGCAGAAAGGGAUGCCCUGAACAGUCCAGGUUGCACAAAGGAGUAUGGACAAACAAGUAGUUUCAUCCAGCUGGGAGCACUAGGAAAGCUCAGAAGGAGGAUGCCUCCAGGAGCCAGUGAGUGUAUUCUGUCACCAGGUGCCUUGGAGAGUGGAGGAUCUGGAGGGCACUUUUUGAGGCUGAUAGGAAGAAAGCAGACGGGUGGAGUGGUAGAUGGAAUGACGCCCUCACCCUCUGCAAUGUUCACAUUCUAAUCCCUGAGAUAUGUGAAUAUGUUACUCUAGCUGACAAAAGGGACUUUGCAGAUGUGAUUAAGGAUUUUGAGCUGGGGAGGUGACUCUGAAUUACAUGAAUGGGCCCAGUAUAAUCACAAGGGUCCUUAUAAUAGGGAGACUGGAGUGUCAGAGUCACAGAUGAGCUGUGAUGAUGGACGCAGUGGUGAGAGAGAGAUGUGAAGAUGGAAGGAGAGGGCCAUGGGCCAAGGAAUGUGGGUGGUCUCUAAAAGCUGGAAAAGGCAAGAAAAUGGAUCCUCCCCUAGAGACUCCAGCAGGAACAAAACCCUGCUGACACCUUGACUGUAGGACUUCCAACCUCCAGAACUAUAAAAUAAUAAAUUCAUGUUGUUUUAAACCACUAAGAUUGUCGUAAUUUGUUACAACAGCCAUGGGAAAUGAGCACAGGUGGAUUAGACACUUCAAGAGAUGUAAUUUCUUUGUGUAAUUCUUUCUGGGAAGCUCCAUGAA
rnacentral:lncRNA from 10 species